rnacentral:lncRNA from 1 species
GGUGGGUGAGUGAGUGCAUUCAUAGGAAUUUAAAAUGUAAAACGGGCUUAAUUGGAUAAAAAUAAUCAACUGUGAAUGGAUACCGGCUAUUUAUAAGUGAAAUGAUACACGCUCCCUUAAUUGACCAUAGUCUGACUUCUCAUUGAAUUGUUUGCUGUUUGCUUGGGGAAAAAAUGCCAGCUGGAAUGCAGGGGGGAUUAAGUUUUAUUUAUUUUCCUUGCUAAGAGCCACAUUGUGCAAUUUGAAAGGAAAUGUCCUUGGAAGACGGAUUCCUCCAUCCGCUGUUUCAGCCCUUGUUUGUUUUCUGGUGGAAAUUAAUUUCUCAAAGGCCCUCCGUGUUGGAAAGGGCACGCUGAUAGGUGCAGGGAAAUAAGGAACUGGAAACAAGAUGCGCCUUAGCAGGCUGCAGGAUGGAACCUUCGUGCGUGCAGGUGGUGAGAAGUGACCUUCGGGAGGAACCCACGCUGAUGUGUUGAGUUUUGCUGGGACUCUUCAGUGCUCUUUGGGCUCUGAUACGUAAGUAAGGUGGUGCAGCCACGUGUGUCAGCUCACUGCUGAGCUCAGCGCUGGGGGCCCUGCUUUGGGUGAGUUCUGCUGUGGGAUGUGCCAAUGGGAAUGGAUUGAAGCGGCUCAAAGCGUUCCAUGGGAGCUCAGCCUGCAUGCCUUUCUCCCAGCAGGUUGGAUGUAAGUUGGGUCUGAUGAGUUCCAGGUGUUCUUCCAAAGGUUUGGAGCUGGAGAGAACAAUUGUGGGCAGCCAUGGGGUCACCUUUUCCCCGGGUGUGGAUGAGGGAUGUAUGCUGAGCCAGGAGGUCCUACUUAGCGCUUAAAGGAGCCCACAAGCAGGAUGGGGACCGGCUUUUUACAUGAGUAGGUAGUGAUAGUACAAGGGGGAAUGGUAUUAAACAGAAAGAGGAGAGAUUUACGUGAGAUGUCAGAGGGAAAUUCUUUACUCAGGUUGGUGUGGCUCUGGCACUGCUGCCCGGAGCUGUGGGUGCCCCAUCCCUGCUGGUACCCAAGGCCAGGUGGGAUGGGGCCCUGAGCAGCCUGAGCUGAUGGGGGGCAGAGCACAGGGUGGAGGAUGGGGCCGGGUGGGCUUUAAGGUCCCUUCCAACCCAACCAUGCUGUGAUUUGGGGGUUUCGUUAGCUGGGUGUGUGUGCACUGCUGCCAGUGCAAGCUUCCCCAAAGCCUAAGUCUGCAAAGUGCUUUCCAGAGGGCUUCAUUUCCCUUUUUUAAUCACAGAUCUGGCCGGGAUGGACAGGAGGAUGGAGGGUGGGAGGAAGGGGUGUGUGGGUGAGGGGGGUUAAGGAGGAGCAGCGCAGUGCCGCAGCGGCGGCCACGGCGGGGCAGUGCGGCUCCGUGCACGGCAGUGCGGCAACGGCGGGGGGGGGGGGAGGGAGGACGGGAGAAAGGGGGAAACAUUAAGCAAACAAAUGAAAACAACACCAAAAAAGGGGGUAGGGAGAGAAAAAGGAAGCAAAACCAAAAAGAAAGCCAGCCUGCAAAUGUAAAUGCAGCAGCUACGUGCCAAGUGAAGGUGCUGAUGCUGUGAUAAGCCUUCAUGUCUGCAAAGUUUGCUGGGAAGAAAAAAGGGAUUCACGUCCAUAGGGGAUCAGAGCGCUGCUCUGACGUUGCUAUUUUUCUUUCAGCUUGGAAGGUCCUUCCCCUGCUCUCCCCCACUGGAUUCAAACCAGGCAGUGAAGCCAGGUCUGUUCCUGGAGCCGUUGGAGGCUCACCGAUGUCUGUCUUCGGACCUCCCUGCUGAUAAAGAUUUAUGUGAUAGGAAUAAUUUGGUUGGGGUCAGGAUUUCUCCUCCAUGGAACCCAGGGCUACGUGGGGAGCUGCUGGGAUCCCAGCACAGCCUCUGUCCGGCUUCAGUUACAGCUUGAGCGUGGAACCAUUUCCCCUUGCCCCUCCGUCUCUCACCCAGCAGUGCAGCACAGGAGCGCUCUGAUUGCGAUCAUGCAGUCAUCGAAGGGGUCGUCCCCCAAAAGGAUGCUUUGAUUUUCGAUGUGACACCCAGGUAAGCGAUGCUGGCGCAGCCCCGCAGCCUUCCUCAAUUGGAUCUGCACCGCAGUGAAGUCAGCCCCUCCCCGCUCCCACCAGGUGGCUCUCACGUUGCUUCCAUUUCCCUCGGCAGGGCUGAGCAGCUCCGCUAGCCGAGUUUACGUGGGAUGUGAGUUUUCCCAUCGCUUUACUUCGGGACGUGCGGCGUGGAGCCCUGGGGCAAUGCCGGCACCUCCAGCUGCCCCCGCCCCCUGUGUUCUGCCCCUGCUGAGGGGGUCAGCCCCGAAGGUGAGGUGAUGGAGGGCUGUGGAUGGGCACGGCUCGGCGCUGGACAGAGGACCCACAGCUGCACUGAUGGCCAUCCCUGCCCCGGCCCCAACAGUGCCGCACGUGCAAUGCUGUGUGCUUUCCCGGGGGGCUGAAGGUGCUGAAUUAGGCACUAACGUAUUUUCCUGUUGGAUCACUGUUUGACUCAAGAAAAUAAGAAAGGGCUAUUACUGCCUUCUGACCCGUUGCUUUGACAUUUGAGUUUCAGUUUGCUUAGCGUCAUAACGUUGAGAAAUUCAAACAGCUCUCCAGCUCGCAGAAUUAUGAACGCCUCCAUUUGGCACUGGAAGAAACCAGCCCUGCAUUCUGGAUUUCCUUACGUUCGCAUUUUCCCCAGCCCAGCAGGGUCGUUUUCCCUUUGAGAACAAUACAGGGCUUGGCUCCCCACGCUGUGCCAUGGCUGCAGCAGCUCAGUGCAGGGCAGGGCAGGUUGGUUCAUCCCCAGGAAGGCUCUGCCAGACACGGGGGCUGUACAGCUGUCCCAGCCAUAUGCCCUGCCCUGCCCUGGGCUGCAGAGGGGCCCUCGCUUUGCACUGCUGCAUCUUUGCUGCUGCAGUCUGCACUGAGGAGCUGGAGUUGUUGAAGGGCUUUUCUACUGAUAAAUGGAUGGAAACCCGUAUUUUCAUCUCACGUCAUCAAACAUUCAUCAGAUACUCCUGGUCAGUACCGACAGAGCCAGAUUUGAACUGGUGACCCAGCAGUAAAAGGCCCCGUUAGCGAUUUCCCUGAACCAUCGAGCCAGGGUGUGACACAAAGGCAGUGCCGUGGCGAUUUGUGCCACAGGUGAAAGCAGGUUCUGAUUUCUGUUUGCUGAUGACCGUUACCAAAGCGUUUUGAAGGGGUUCGUGCUCCCGUGUGAUCCAGAAAUAGGAAGAGCAGCACUGCCUGCACCCAUCUCCCCACAUAGGGCAGUGCUGUAUGAACCCGACCCGUUCACAUAUGUGGGUGGGGGGAGAGAGCCCCUCUGAGCCCCGGGACCCAAAAACGUCCUCAUGUGGCACUGUGGGACCGUCCUGCGCCCGGUCUGUGCUGUGCUGGUGCUCCCCAUAGGCAGGCAGGCUGCUUUGCCUCACAGUGCUGCUCUGUUCUUUCGCCGGCGAUUUUUAUAUCCCGGUUCUUUCUCUCUUUACAGAAUCAUUUGAGGAAAUAAUGUGUGAGGGGAAAAAAAAAUAUUACCUCCGGCAGUUGUGUUAUAACGGCUCUUGUGCUGACAGCCCUUUGGGAACGGUGGCAGCAGCAGGGUCAACAGCUAUUCCAGACCGACGUGAUGCGGGAGGGACCGGCCUGAUUCACAUCGCCUCAGCCAUCGCUUCCCUCGCAGCAUCUCCCCGGCAGAGCAGAGGUCCUGCUGGAGCCAGGCUGAAUGUUUUGGAGAAGAGAUCCUCAGAAGGAACACGGGAGGUGCGUUGGGACGCCUUCGCUCUGCACAGAGAUAAAGCCAGAGGGAUCCCACAUUCCGAACAAGGCAGAGCCUGAACUUGAACUGCGGGUUGUCCAAAGCUCAGGAGAGAGUUUAAAGAAGAAUGAGGCGGGGAGGAGGAAUGAAAUGCCUCUGGUGGUUGAGCCCUCUCACCUGCCGGAGGAUGUCGGGUCCGUCUGUGGCUGGGAAGUCUUUGGAUCAACGCAGGAGUGUGGAUGUAAGAAAAAAUCCUGUGCAAAGCAUCUGUGCUGGGGAGGAUGCGACGAGCGAAACGCUCCCGAGCCCCCUUCUCCACACCAGCAUAAAACACAGUGCUGUCGGUGGCUCUGAGGCUGCCCUAAGCCCAGCGUGGCGUUGUCCCCGCUCUGCUGGCUCUUGGCUGGAGCUGCUGGCACAUCACCUGUGCACGUGUGUGCAUGCAAGGAAGAAAGUAGGGGGAAGUUGUCCCUGUUGCUGUCACAGUGCUGUCCCCGCCUGGCAGAGGUGCCCUCAGCCCGUGCUGUGCUGCUGCUCCUUCAGCAUCCAGGAAAAGGCAUGGAGAUGGUCCCCCAUUCCCCAUAACAGGUUUGUGCCAACCGCUCAGAAUAUCGAUUCAAACGC